CUGUGGACCAGCUGACUAACACCUCCGAGCCCCAUGUCUCUGUGUGACACUGCCGUCGUGUCUGAAUUAAGACUGAAAUUAAAAAAGACAUAGCUGAGACAAAGAGACGAAGACUGAGGGCUUCUUCUCUCCUCUGAAUGCUCAAUAUGUUAAAGCCUGAGAGGACUCGGUCUCUGUUUCCAGCCCAAACAUGAUGGGAUUUCCCACCAAAGGAGAGUGCCCCCUGCUGGUUCCACUGCUACAACAUCAGCUUUCCAAAAAACUUAAAGAAGAGCACAAAGACAAAAUGACAUGAAACAUCAGAUUAUCGUCAGGUGGAUGGUGAGUGGUUGCUUGGAAACAGAGUUGUAGACACACCCCCGCAGACUGCUGAUUGGUGGGAUAUAAACCACAGCCGCACACAGGACGUCCUGUAGGGCUCUGGGUUUGGCUAGUCAACCGUAUGGGCUCUAGAGUUAAGACAAUGACGUAAGGCAACGCUUGGCAUCACGCUGAGUCCUCCAGCUCUCAUGUCUCCUGCAGCGGAUCCGACUGCAGCUGUUCGUGAGGAGAGCAUGAUGUUUGGUGGGAGGAGCUCAGCAUCAGUGAGACUGAUGAGACGAGGCAGACGAGAGUGAACUGGUUGAUAUUGGCAGCCUUGAGCCCUGGUCUGGGAUCAGCCCUGCAGGGCGAGUAUCAUUCCAUUUGGCACUUCAGUCGACCCGGGGACGCAGAACAAAGCCCGACCUCUGACCUGAUUCUCACACAAGCCUGAACCUCCUCAUGGGGAGGUCCGAUCCAGAACGUGAAGGGGUCAAAGUUCACAGACUGGACCUACUACACAAGUCUGUGUUUCAUCUGCUGCACCGA